GUACACUGAACUACAGACACUAAAGCUGGAACAACACAGAGAUUAGCACGGCUUCUGGGCAAGGACAGCACACAAACUCAUGAAACAUUCCACAAUUUU
rnacentral:snRNA from 1 species